rnacentral:rRNA from 1 species
GUAUGCAACCUGUCCGUUACAGGGGGAUAGCCCAUGGACACGUGGAUUAACACUCCAUAAUAUAAUAUAGAGGCAUCUUUGUAUUAUUAAAUAUUCAUAGGUAACGGUUGGGCAUGCGUCCUAUUAGAUAGUUGGGGGGGUAACGGCCCACCAAGUCGAUGAUAGGUAGGGGUUCUGAGAGGAAGGUCCCCCACACUGGUACUGAGACACGGACCAGACUCCUACGGGAGGCAGCAGUGAGGAAUAUUGGUCAAUGGGCGAGAGCCUGAACCAGCCAAGUCGCGUGAGGGAUGACUGCCCUAUGGGUUGUAAACCUCUUUUGUAUGGGGGGAAUAAGCUUUACGAGUAGAGUGAUGACAGUACCAUACGAAUAAGCAUCGGCUAACUCCGUGCCAGCAGCCGCGGUAAUACGGAGGAUGCGAGCGUUAUCCGGAUUUAUUGGGUUUAAAGGGUGCGUAGGCGGCAUUAUAAGUUAGUGGUAAAAUAUUGGGGCUUCACCUCACUACGCCAUUAAUACUGUAGAGCUAGAGAACAGACGAGGUAGGCGGAAUAAGUUAAGUAGCGGUGAAAUGCAUAGAUAUAACUUAGAACACCGAUAGCGAAGGCAGCUUACCAGACUGAGUCUGACGCUGAUGCACGAGAGCAUGGGUAGCGAACAGGAUUAGAUACCCUGGUAGUCCAUGCCGUAAACGAUGCUCACUGGCCUUAGGCGAUAUACGGUCUGA